ACACACAGAGACAAACACUGUCAUGAUCAACCACAGGUCAGUGAACCUGUACCGUCCACCUGUUCCUAAUAUUCUGACCCUCAGGUGAAUGUUAGGAAAAGCUGGAGCUGCCUUCAGCUGAUUGGUUCACAGAACACAUGGUGAUCUAACAGCUGAUGGAGACAAACCUGUGCUACGGUAACAACGUGGAAGGAUGUGUGAGAUGCACCGAUCAGAUUAUUCCUGAUCAAUAAUCUGAUCUAAUGUCCACAGACGGGUGAGUCAACAGACGGGUGAGACAACAGACGGGUGAGUCGUCAGGUGAGUCAACAGACGGGUGAGUCGUCAGGUGAGUCAACAGACGGGUGAGACGUCAGGUGAGUCAACAGACGGGUGAGUCGUCAGGUGAGUCAACAGACGGGUGAGACGUCAGGUGAGUCAACAGACGGGUGAG